UUGCGAAGAUCCCAGCAGAGAGUUAGGUCCUCAACAUUGAGAACUCUCUAACAUAUAACUAUCCUUCGUAGAUUGAGAUCAUUUUACACCGUUUCGUAGGAUGUCCAAACACAUUGAUUUUUGGUUCGUCUUGAAUAUUCGGACACAUUUAU